rnacentral:rRNA from 1 species
AUGCCCGCAGGAUCCGAUGUAGACAACAUGGAUGAAGAUGAGGAAGAGAGCAUGUCUAGCGGUGAGCCUAUCGACAUUGAUCCAUUCAACCUUGUCUACGCAAACCUCCCAGAUAGCACACACAUCCUCAAGCAUGCCACAAACUGCGACCACUGCAAGGCCAUGAAGUUUGAGUUAGAGACUAACAGCUUCUACUGUCGCAAUGGACAAAUUGAGCUCAAGCAAUCGGAAACCAUCCUAGAGCUAAUGAGGCUUUGGUCUAGCACGGAUGCAGACUCUAGACAUUUUCGGGAGAACAUACGGUUCUUCAACGGCCAUUUCUCCUUCACAACCCUUGGCGUCAGCCUCGAUGCAAACUACACAAACAUGAAGUCUGGGGUGUACACAUUUUGGGCACACGACACCAUCUACCACAACGUGCAUUCAUUCGGGCCUAGCUCCCGACCAGAACAUCUCAAGUUGUACUUCUACGACAAUGACCCUUACCUAACCCAUCGCAAGGCUGCCACCAAACAACUAGACCACAAUGUCGUCAAGAAGUUAGUGGACAUACUCUGGGAAAACCCGUACUCCCAGCUGUUUAGGAGUUUGGGUGCACACAAGGACAACCUCGAUGACUAUAGGCACCGACCAGAGGUUUGA